UGGGGAAUUUUGGACAAUGGGCGAAAGCCUGAUCCAGCAAUGCCGCGUGUGUGAAGAAGGCCUUCGGGUUGUAAAGCACUUUUGUCCGGAAAGAAAUCCUUGGCUCUAAUACAGUCGGGGGAUGACGGUACCGGAAGAAUAAGCACCGGCUAACUACGUGCCAGCAGCCGCGGUAAUACGUAGGGUGCAAGCGUUAAUCGGAAUUACUGGGCGUAAAGCGUGCGCAGGCGGUUUGCUAAGACCGAUGUGAAAUCCCCGGGCUCAACCUGGGAACUGCAUUGGUGACUGGCAGGCUAGAGUAUGGCAGAGGGGGGUAGAACUCCACGUGUAGCAGUGAAAUGCGUAGAGAUGUGGAGGAAUACCGAUGGCGAAGGCAGCCCCCUGGGCCAAUACUGACGCUCAUGCACGAAAAGCGUGGGGAGCAAACAGGAUUAGAUACCCUGGUAGUCCACGCCCUAAACGAUGUCAACUAGUUGUUGGGGAUUCAUUUCCUUAGUAACGUAGCUAACGCGUGAAGUUGACCGCCUGGGGAGUACGGUCGCAAGAUUAAAACUCAAAUGAAUUGACGGGGUCAUAGCUGUUUCCU
rnacentral:rRNA from 1 species